GGGCUAGUGCGAGGAGCAGGACAAGCUGGACUGGGCUGACGCACUGGAGGCCUGGUGCAUGGGGCUGGUAGUGGAGGUGCCCUAUCCAGGAAAAAGAUAGCAUCACACCUGUCCAUGUCUUCCUCACUUGGUCUGUACCAGCUACAAAGGUAGCAAAUACAGGUGUACGAACAACUUCAAAAACCUAGACUUUUGAUGACAGCGGAAGAAAAGGCGAGAGAAGAAGAGGACAUCUCAAAGGAGAUGCAGAAAGAUGGAACACAAAGACAGCAGCACAAUCAGUCACACAUCUUAUCUUCACACACUGACCCUUUUAGUCUUUGUUCUAUGCACUGCAGGCACUGUUAUAUUGCAUGUGUUUUCAAAACAUUACAUCUGUAAAUACACCUCACUGUGCCCAUCUGGCCAAAGACAAGAUAUACACGCUAAACUGUGCCAAGACAAUAUAUACUGUACAUGCUAAACUGUGCCAAGAAAGAUACAUAGUUGAUUUUUUAAAUGUGUGUACCAAUCACAGACUGUAGGUUUAAUACAAGCCUGGCAAAAAUCUAAAUGCAAAUAAUAAUAAUUUAGUGUUUUAUUCAUAUGCCCAUGUUUUUAUUUAUAUUCUAAAUUGUAGGUACAAAUGCUAAUAAAACUCACUCUAUUAUA